UUUUGAUUGUGUGAUCUCAAGCAGGGUCAGGUUACCGAGAGCGUUCAGGCGGCCCUCCUCAGCUGAGGAAGAGAUCUUCCCUCUGACUGACUCUGCACACAUCAAAAAAGCAACCUGUAGGAGCUUCGGAUGUGAUUUAGCUGGAGGUGCUUCUCCAUCUUUUUCACACCCUGGAACAUGAGAGGUGUGUGAGAGGGUCAGAGUGCAGACAGGCCUAUUGUACAGUUGCCCCCGCGGAUCUCCUUUCAGCUAGCUGCCCUACUCAGAUUAGUGCUGCACUCUGACUGUUUUCACACCGUUAAGGCCAAUCCACAUCCUCUUCUGUGGAGGGAGCGCAGGCUCCCCUGGAGAUCAGUGACGCCUCACUGACCACAUCAAUCAAUCAUUCUCCCUCUGACUACCUCUCUCCCACUCCCUUUUGUGUCUCUCUGUAUGUCUCUGUCUCCAUAUCUCUCUGUCUCGCCUUCACAACUUUAAUAUCUGUCUCAUUCCUCUUUCCCACACAUGACAUGGGAACUACUUAUCAUAAAAACACAGAAAAAUGUUGUUGCAGAGAGCAAUACUUUCACAGGAGUCUGUCUUGGAAGCUUCUGGCAGAGGACUUUUAACUAUUAACAAGUAGCUGUUCUUUAAAAAAACAAAACAUUAAUAGAUAAUUCACAUUUUAGUUUUAAAAUGAUUGACCUGUAGACAUUGCUGUCUUCGGCUCUGUUCAUUUGCUAAUUAUCUGAUAUAUCCUGUAUUUUGUACAGGUGAAUCUUUCAUGCCACAGAAAGUUGUUUGACUUGCAAAUGUCUGCCUCAGGCAGCCAUUCAUCUUACAGUCUUCCAGAAAACUCUAUACUUAUCCUAAUAAUGGGGUCAACUACGCAAAAUGUGAGAGAAGUGAGGCAACAAUAGAGAUCGGUUGAACUUGUGCUCCUUGUAUAGCAAAGGGUUUUUGUCCAUACAUUGCCCUCAUGGGAGGUAAUGUACUGUGACACAAAAUACAGGCCACAUAUGUGUGUCCCUUAUACUGCGAUCAUUAUAUGGACCUUUUCAGUCCUUUUGUGAAAGGCUUGGUUCAGUUAAAGUUCACUAUGGACCCUCAAGCUAAGAGUGUAGUUGAGGUUACCAUUGGGAGGGGGAAUAACACACGUUCUGUAUAUGUCCACUUCUCUUUCUGUCUGCCUAUAUCUGUGUAUGAUAAGUCUUGUGAUGGCCUAUAUUUUCAGUCAAAAAGUCCAGUAAAAUACAAAACCAACAGUGAAUUUGUCCUAUUAAAGUAUUGUCUGUGAAGCCAAAUCACAAUUUGUCUGCCACAGUGCUCCAUUAUUGUUAAAAAUUGCAACCCACUGCCAUAAAUGACUGCCCUCACUCCACAAUCUAAUCGGCAUAAAACAGUCCCCCGAAAAUGUAUAGACUGUAUUUGUGACCACUAAAAUGUAAGUGGGAUCAAAUCAACCCGGGGCUUAAAUGUUUGGAAGUUUGGAAAGUAUUGUAAAAGUGGACCAACACCUUAUGGUUUUGUUCCUCUUGCCUGAUCUCUCGACAAUAAGAACAGUGUCGAUUAUAACUCCAGCCUUACCCUUUAAAUGUGCCUCUGUUCAAGUUGGCGCGUUCAUAGAUAUGCCAAUCUGGUUGUCUAUAAGUCUGCAUUCCCAGUUUUACUUUUCUGCCUUUUAGCAAACGUUGCUUCUGGAGUCUUAACCUCCAGCAUCCCUACAACCUGUCACACUGUCUCUAACCUGUCUGUGUGCACACCAUCUUGUCUGCUACCCAGUGUGCCUUUCUCAGUCUAUAUGUCUGCCAGCAGGGGAAAGGUCAG